CAUUUUUAAAGCCCCUCAGGUGAUUCAGUGCAGCCCGGGCAAGAACCCAGCUAUGCUCUGAGAAGUGAGUGGGCAGCAUCUAAUUGCUCUUCAUAAAAAUCCUGCUGUUUUCAGCCCCAGCCCACCCUGGUCUUCCCACAGACAAUGGCCACUCCCAUGCCUGAGCCAUCCCAGGUACACUUGUAGGUACUGGUGAUAGAAAAAUGAAGACCUCAUUCUUCCCUUGGAAAACAAAAAACAAAGAAGAGACCAAGUCUCUUAGGAAAAAGAGAACCCUGCCAGUAGCACGAUACAGGAGAUCCCCAGUUGGAGGAACCAUCCUUUACAGCUGACUGACUCACCAGUCCCUAAUGCUGGUCAGAUGUCCUGAACAAGGAAAGCCGUGAUUUCUGCGACCAGAGAGAAUCGGUCAGUCACGGUGUCCCUCAGCCAAAAUGAACUCAGCCUAUUGUCUCCGGAGAGCUGGUAAAUCGGCAGCUGAAGAAACAUACAGUUCUGUGUUUCAAAAUGCAAAAGACCACAUUUCCCUGACCUCGGGUGCUCGCUGACACAUUCCCAACCAAUGACUAUAAAUCUGCUCCUGGAUUGUGGUAAGUUGAGAAAUUAAACACAAAUAUCCCAUCUGAUAACCUUCCUCUGGCCUUUCACAGUGUUGUUUAUAGAACUGAAUUUUAGAAAAUGAAUUCCUUUAUCCUCAAGGUUUUAGGGCUUUUUUCUUCUAAGCCCAGAAACUGUAAACGUUUUCAUGAUACAAGAAAGCUGGCGCUUCUCCUUCUACUUAAAUUACAGACACUCGUCUGAGUUGCCUGCUGCUGUGGAUUUUUGUUGGGUUUCAGUUGCUUUCUAGCCAUUCUUCCAUCCUUAGAGCAUCUGAAUUUCCUUUUAUGAAUUUCCCUCAUCCCCUUUGAGGGAAUCCGAUGAAAUCUCAAAUCCAAGCACCUGCCUCCCAGCAAGAAUGCGGAGCUGCUAGCUUUCUGGAACUACAUGAUUUCCACCCCUUUU
rnacentral:lncRNA from 1 species